AGCAGAGUGGCGCAGUGGAAGCGUGCUGGGCCCACAACCCAGAGGUCCGAGAAUCAAAUCCUCGCUCAGCUA
rnacentral:tRNA from 1 species